ensembl:miRNA
AUUUGCUCAUAGAUGAUAUGCAUAGUACUCCCAGAACUCGUUAAGUUGGUAGUACUGUGCAUAUCAUCUAUGAGCGAAUAG